UUCUCCUUUUUCCAUUGUCUGCUUGAAACUUCUAAACUCCAUCGCCUCUGACAUAAAAGAGGCCUAACGUUUUUCAUAUUGAUAGAAACGUUAUCAUUAAGAUUCACCUUUAACUCUCUCAGUGAAGCUCUCACACGGCAUCGAUUUAAGUUGCCUUUUCCCAGUUUCCAUCACUAAUCCCUAAUUUGUUCAAUUAUAAAUAAGGCUGCAGAAAACUCAGAAUCUCACUCUUCACCAGUUUCAAUCCUUCUGCUUCAAUACACAGACGGUAGUAGCGCGUCUUCUGUGUCUUUGGGAAGUAUGGAACAGUGAGAAAAGCAUGGGAACUGAUGAGAGUUGACAUGCUUCCGCUUGAUAAGAAGUUAUAAAGCUUUGAUACCAACAACAAUGGCCAACCUCUUCCUGAAAAGUUUCCUGAAAAUAUUUCUGCUUCGUUUUGAUUAUAGGACCAAACUCAUACACUUAAGCCUUCUUGGAAGAUUGGGAGCCAACAAAAGACUCAUUUUUGGGUAUAUAUGUUCUGUGGUAAGAGCCCUUGGUCUGAGUCUGUUAAAGAUUCUAUUGACUGAAACCGAGCUCCAUGGCAGAAGCUGUGUCGAUGUGGGAAUGGUCUGGCUCUGCGUUUGAUGAAGGAGAAGAGAAAAUGUUUUCAGAUUAUUUUGGACAAUGAAUCCCUUUUGUUCGGUUCAAUAAAGGUUUUGCUUCAAAAGUCUUGUCAUUUGCAACAGAUGAAUGCACAUAGUUAAUUAAGUUUUUCGGGAAUCCUUGCUAGACAAUCUUUUAAGAGAGUUGCCAGUGAUUAAUGUUUCUGCUGUAAAUUUGGAUUUGUGAGUAUGUAAUUUCCUAAAACUGGAAAGUAAAUUAUAUGGUGAACUAAAGAGAUGAGAACAGAUUCCAGCACUGUUGAAUGGAAAUGAUGUAAAUCGAGGCUACCUACUCGACCUGUUUUUAUUUUUUUGGUGUUGAACCUGGUGAGUUUAUGAGCACUCGCUGAGUUCCUCUACGUUUACGUUCUUUGGAGUUUUCAAGCGUGUCUCAUGCUCUAUGCACAGGAUUUUCCUUCAUCAUAUUACUGUUGAGUAUGUAUUGAUUCUGUCAAGUUUAACUUAAUUAGUCUUCUGAUGCUAUAGAUGUAGAUGUCGAUGAAGUUUUUGUGUUAGUGUUUCUUUGAUGUUAUGAGGCUUUUGGUAUUUUCCUGAGCGUUUAAUGUAACAUACGUUUCUCUGUGGUUACAUAAUUUCUUGGUUGCUGGACAGUCC